UGAAAAUACAAACCAUAGGUUUUGGACUGA
rnacentral:piRNA from 1 species